rnacentral:rRNA from 1 species
UGGAGGCAGCAGUGAGGAAUUUUGCGCAAUGGGCGAAAGCCUGACGCAGCAACGCCGCGUGGAGGAUGAAGGCCUUCGGGUCGUAAACUCCUGUCAGGGGGGACGAAAAAAAUGACUGUACCCCCUGAGGAAGCCACGGCUAACUCCGUGCCAGCAGCCGCGGUAAUACGGAGGUGGCAAGCGUUGUUCGGAAUUACUGGGCGUAAAGGGCGCGUAGGCGGCUUGGCAAGUCAGAUGUGAAAGCCCCGGGCUUAACUCGGGAAUUGCAUCUGAAACUGCUUUGCUUGAGUCCUGGAGGGGGUAGUGGAAUUCCCAGUGUAGCGGUGAAAUGCGUAGAUAUUGGGAGGAACACCUGUGGCGAAGGCGGCUACCUGGACAGUGACUGACGCUGAUGCGCGAAAGCUAGGGGAGCAAACGGGAUUAGAAACCCUUGUAGUCCU